rnacentral:rRNA from 1 species
GUGAACGCUGGCGGUAGGCCUAACACAUGCAAGUCGAACGGCAGCACAGUAGGAGCUUGCUCUUACGGGUGGCGAGUGGCGGACGGGUGAGGAAUACAUCGGAAUCUACUUUUUCGUGGGGGAUAACGUAGGGAAACUUACGCUAAUACCGCAUACGACCUACGGGUGAAAGCAGGGGAUCUUCGGACCUUGCGCGAUUGAAUGAGCCGAUGUCGGAUUAGCUAGUUGGCGGGGUAAAGGCCCACCAAGGCGACGAUCCGUAGCUGGUCUGAGAGGAUGAUCAGCCACACUGGAACUGAGACACGGUCCAGACUCCUACGGGAGGCAGCAGUGGGGAAUAUUGGACAAUGGGCGCAAGCCUGAUCCAGCCAUACCGCGUGGGUGAAGAAGGCCUUCGGGUUGUAAAGCCCUUUUGUUGGGAAAGAAAAGCAGCAGGUUAAUACCCCGCUGUUCUGACGGUACCCAAAGAAUAAGCACCGGCUAACUUCGUG